rnacentral:rRNA from 1 species
GACGAACGCUGGCGGCGUGCUUAACACAUGCAAGUCGAACGGUAAGGCCUUUCGGGGUACACGAGUGGCGAACGGGUGAGUAACACGUGGGUGAUCUGCCCUGCACUUCGGGAUAAGCCCGGGAAACUGGGUCUUAUACCGGAUAGGACUGCGCGGUGCAUGCCGUGUGGUGGAAAGAUUUAUCGGUGCAGGAUGGGCCCGCGGCCUAUCAGCUUGUUGGUGGGGUAAUGGCCUACCAAGGCGACGACGGGUAGCCGGCCUGAGAGGGCGUCCGGCCACACUGGGACUGAGACACGGCCCAGACUCCUACGGGAGGCAGCAGUGGGGAAUAUUGCACAAUGGGCGCAAGCCUGAUGCAGCGACGCCGCGUGAGGGAUGACGGCCUUCGGGUUGUAAACCUCUUUCAGCAGGGACGAAGCGUGAGUGACGGUACCUGCAGAAGAAGCACCGGCCAACUACGUG